rnacentral:rRNA from 1 species
GAGGCGAACCGGGGGAACUGAAACAUCUAAGUACCCCGAGGAAAAGAAAUCAACCGAGAUUCCGAAAGUAGCGGCGAGCGAAAUUGGACUAGCCCUUAAGCUUUACACGCGUUAGACGAACGGUCUGGAAAGUCCGACGAUACAGGGUGAUAGUCCCGUAGUUGACGACGUGUGUUCAGUGAAAUCGAGUAGGGCGGGACACGUGAUAUCCUGUCUGAAUAUGGGGGGACCAUCCUCCAAGGCUAAAUACUACUGACUGACCGAUAGUGAACCAGUACCGUGAGGGAAAGGCGAAAAGAACCCCUGUGAGGGGAGUGAAAUAGAACCUGAAACCGUGUACGUACAAGCAGUAGGAGCAGGCUUUGUCCUGUGACUGCGUACCUUUUGUAUAAUGGGUCAGCGACUUAUAUUCAGUGGCAAGGUUAACCAUCUAGGGGAGCCGUAGGGAAACCGAGUCUUAACUGGGCGUUCAGUCUCUGGAUAUAGACCCGAAACCAGGUGAUCUAGCCAUGGGCAGGUUGAAGGUUGAGUAACAUCAACUGGAGGACCGAACCGACUAAUGUUGAAAAAUUAGCGGAUGACUUGUGGCUAGGGGUGAAAGGCCAAUCAAACCUGGAGAUAGCUGGUUCUCCCCGAAAGCUAUUUAGGUAGCGCCUCGGACGAAUACUACUGGGGG